rnacentral:rRNA from 1 species
GAUGACCUCUGGCGGCGUGCUUAACACAUGCAAGUCGAACGAAGCUGCUUAACUGAUCUUCUUCGGAAUUGACGUUUUGUAGACUGAGUGGCGGACGGGUGAGUAACGCGUGGGUAACCUGCCCUGUACAGGGGGAUAACAGUCAGAAAUGACUGCUAAUACCGCAUAAGACCACAGCACCGCAUGGUGCAGGGGUAAAAACUCCGGUGGUACAGGAUGGACCCGCGUCUGAUUAGCUGGUUGGUGAGGUAACGGCUCACCAAGGCGACGAUCAGUAGCCGGCUUGAGAGAGUGAACGGCCACAUUGGGACUGAGACACGGCCCAAACUCCUACGGGAGGCAGCAGUGGGGAAUAUUGCACAAUGGGGGAAACCCUGAUGCAGCGACGCCGCGUGAGUGAAGAAGUAUCUCGGUAUGUAAAGCUCUAUCAGCAGGGAAGAAAAUGACGGUACCUGACUAAGAAGCCCCGGCUAACUACGUGCCAGCAGCCGCGGUAAUACGUAGGGGGCAAGCGUUAUCCGGAAUUACUGGGUGUAAAGGGUGCGUAGGUGGUAUGGCAAGUCAGAAGUGAAAACCCAGGGCUUAACUCUGGGACUGCUUUUGAAACUGUCAGACUGGAGUGCAGGAGAGGUAAGCGGAAUUCCUAGUGUAGCGGUGAAAUGCGUAGAUAUUAGGAGGAACAUCAGUGGCGAAGGCGGCUUACUGGACUGAAACUGACACUGAGGCACGAAAGCGUGGGGAGCAAACAGGAUUAGAUACCCUGGUAGUCCACGCCGUAAACGA